UCUUUCUAUUCAUGGCUGCCACCAGAGGGAGCGCUCUCGCUGUCACAAUGAUUUUUAAAGUAGGCAAAUAUGUCGUAAGAAGUCACACGCUUUCCCCUCCUAGUAUCAAAACAUUGUGAAUAUUUUGAAUGAGUUUGUUACCGCCUCGUGUUCUGUGCGAACAACUCCGACAUGGCCGCCAGUCUUAAGGUGCACUUGGUGUCUCGUCACGCCUUCACGUUCCGAACCCAAACAGCCCACUAACUUCCCUACUAACAGACGCUCAUCCGCUGGCAUCUUCGAGAUGAGGUGAGAGGUCACGGGGUCGGUGGGAAGUCAGGAGAAAGGCACGUCCCAUCUCUGCGUGGCGGCGCUCAGCUCACACGGGCUGAUGACCAGCAUGCGGGACGAGUCCAGCCCGUCCAGCGCCAUAGCCGAGUCUAGGCAGAAACGGGACGCCUGGUGCUCCAGGCGGGCUACACCCUGGACAAGUCGCCACCUCAUCGCAGGGCCAACACGUGUGCAGCUGAGAUAGGCUCCAGCACCCCCCUGGACCCCGUAAAGGACAAACGGUAGAAAAUGGAUGGAUGGAUGAACUGAAAGUCAAAGGUGAUUUAUGACUUGUCAGAUUGGUUUCUGCUGCAGGGAGUUCUGGGACGCCGUCAAGGUGCCCACUGGUCAGAUGUCCAUGGCUGUGUCAUACUUGCCCAGGUGAUCGAACCACGAGCUGUCAAUUACAAAGAGGCCGCCGGCGAUGAUGGGCGUCCUGCCAAGCGGGCAUCAUCAUCAUCUUAAUCAUCAUCAUCUUUAAAGUGCAGGGUUUCCCACACAUUCAUUUAUUUGUGGCGGCCCGCCACGAAAGAAUUACGUCCGCCACAAAUAAAAUAAAA